AUUUGUGUUCUACCAUCUGGUAAUAGCACGUGAUAAGUUCCAGUUGCUUCAUUGUCUUUUCGUGACUCGUGGUGGCCAAAGUUUAAGCCAGCUACUGCGUCCUCCACUUCGUAUGAAAAUUCGUAAUUCGCUGAAUCCUGCGAAGACGAAAAAAGAUGGGGAGGAGGGUGGAGGGGGGAAGAAAAGUAUUUAUCCAGACUGCAGAUGAAAUUAUCGAGGUAUGCUUUUAUGCGACGGGCAAAUAAUUCGAUAAGGCAGACCUUUAUCGUAUUGCGUAAAUUUUGUAGUGCGAAAUAACGAAUGUAAAAAUACGAAAAUACGAGUAUCGAUGAGAUAAAUUAAAGAGAAUUAAUUUUCACGUGAGAAGAAGUCGGGCGAAAGAGAAGAAAGGAAACGCUGGUGCUACUUACACCGGCCCAUUCGUCCGGAUGACCAGCAGCAGGAGCUGGUCGCGCUCCAGUUGCUGUAGGCGGAAGAUAGGCAGGUCCUUGAGGUUCGCUCAAAAUUCCUACCAACGUCAUCGUUAACAGAAGUGCCUAUGUAGGGGGAAAAAAAUGUUUUACGCCUUUCAGCUCCUUGAAAUAAUUAGCAAAGAUAAAACCAUCGCGAGUUAUUCGUUGAAAUAUAUUUACAGAGGUGAAUGUGUUUUAUUACAACGGGAUCGACGUUGUAUUUAUCAUGGUUGUAAGGCUAUGGAUUUUAUUAUUUUAUCAGCGAUAUAGUUGAAAAGAAAAGACGAGAGAGGGAGAGAGAGAGAGAGAGAGAGGAAAUUCGUAAGAAGAAUUAUGAAUCGGGCAAAGAACAAACCUUCGGAAUCAUUAGCAACUUGGCACAAGUGCUGCGUGUCUUGGCUGAAAGAAAAUAGCUUAAUGUUACGAAGCCGGUGGAUUUUAUACCACGUUCGAGAUGCGGGUGCAACGAAACGGAGAUGAAAUCACGGCGAUUUGGGGGAACUUUAAUACGAAUCCAUACCUAUAAUCGUAGUUAAUAAUAAAACCGCAUUGGCAAUCUGGCUAUACAGCGGUAAUCAUUAAUUUGAUGCGCUCGUUCCUGAGUUCCUGAAUCGCUCAAAUUUUCACCACUUUCGAAAUCGGAUCGGAGGCGCAAUGCUGCGGUUAAACAUAAUCGAUGAGCUCGGGCUGACGAAUUAACCAAACGAAAGAAAAUUAUUCAAGGACUUUGUCUUACAUGGUAUACUUUUUGUUUACUUCUAUCGUAGUUUCCUUGUAUCUUUUACACGUACAAUAUAAUGUAGGUACAAGUUUUUCACGUAGUGAAUACGUAUCGUGAUAUCAAACGCUGUUUAUACAAUGCGACAGUCUUUUAAGUCAAUACGUAUGCACUAUACAUAUAAAAGUGAAAACCUGGUGAGAAACUCCCGUUCGAUCCCCUAUCGGGUUAUUAAUUUAACCUGAUGAAUCUAAUACAUACAGGAGCAUAUAAAACUUGCUGGUUUCUUUAGUCACGUUCGAUAAUCUUGUGCGCAUUCGCGUAAAACCGAGUUAAACGUAAUUAAAUAUGUCAAUAAUAAUGAGAAUAAUUAUAAUAAUAAUAAUUAGAAUAAUUAGAA